GCCCUUGUUAAGGAACCAUUGUUUUACUGGUUGGGAACAGCCUGUAUUUAUUCUUUGUCCUUUUCUCAAAGCAAAAGAUAAAUGUUGAUUUUAUGGCUGGGCUUCGCCCUUGCACUCUGGUUUUCUUUGUUUUUUAUGUGUUUUCAUGUUUUUUUUUCUGGUGGUUGAACUGAGCCCUUGUGAGAAAAUACAUUUUUUCAGAUGAGCUGCUCCUGUUGGUAGGCCUGGCCUUGGUUGGUGGACUAGGCCUCUGUUAAAAACUGAACAUCUGUGUGUGCUGGGAGUGGUGAUGGAGGAAGGUGUUUGCGAGGGCCUGCUGUAGUGGAAAUGCGGUAGAUCCAGAUGUCUGUUCCUUGUGGCCACUGCUUAAUCAAAGGCUUCAUUGUUGGUGGGUCGGUCCGUUCAUCCUGCUGGUCCCAAGUUUCCUCAAAGCUAUGACAGCAAUGUGGACGCUUCAGGCAGGGACUGAAGUGGCAAUGGCUUGAGCAACCAGCUUCAGCAUCGGAGACUUGGCAGGACUGGUCUGUCCCUCCUUGCUAUGGUGGCAGUGGCAGCGUGGUGCAUCUGGUCUGGAAAUCCUUGCUUUGGGGUGGCUUCAGGAACAACAUCACGUAACCACUCCAUAAAUCCAAAUUGCCAUGGAGGGUACAAAAGAUAAAAUUUGUCCUAACUUUUUCUCAAUUUUUAAAAUAUAAUUUCUGUAAUUAAAAUGGUGCCAAACUGUGGCAACUUGUAUAUAUCUCGCUGUAUUUUCAUACAUGCAAGUUACAAUAAACUGCUGUUCUUUUUU